CUGCAUGGCUGCUGGACAAGUUGCUGAGAGCAAUGCACACAUUGUUUAACAAUGUGCCUGCCAGGAGAGAGGAUUACGUCACCGUAACCAAGUCCAGUGUGUUCCCCCUUUCUUUCUGUGCCCAUCGUUGGGUAGAAAACCUUCCGGUUGUGGAGAGAGCCCUGGUAGUCUGGCCAUCACUUCUUCUGUACAUGGAAGCUGUGAAAACAAAAAAACUCCCUAACCCUGGAACAGGAUCUUAUGACACAGUUGCAGCAGCCAUAAAGGAUCCACUCAUUCUGGCCAAAUUUCACUUCUACGCAGCACUUGCCAGGACCUUCACGCCCUUCCUAACAAAAUAUCAAACAGACGAGCCGGUGCUCCCAUUCCUCUCCAAGGACCUGACCGAAUUGAUGAUAAGUCUACUCAGACGCUUCAUAAAGAGAGAAGUUCUCAACGAUAUCACUGCCCUGCAGCUGACCAAACUGGAUGUCACAGACAAGACCAUCUGGCUCAGCCCACAAAACAUCAGCAUUGGUCUAGGUGCAGAGUCAGUUCUUAAGGUAGUGGGAUGUUUUCAAAGAUCAUUUUACAAAUGGUUAGGCGAAACCAGGUCAGUGAAGGCAUGUUCUAUAUUCAUGGCUAAUUUCUUUCUCU